UGUGUGAAGAUGCGGACUACCUGCACCUGGACAGAAAGACCCUAUGAAGCUUUACUGUUCCCUGGGAUUGGCUUUAGUCUUUUCCUGCGCAACUUAGGUUGAAGGCGAAGAAGGCCCCCUUCCGGGGGGGCGAGCCAUCAGUGAGAUACCACUCUGGAAGAGCUAGAAUUCUAACCUUGUGUCAGGACCUACGGGCCAAGGGAGAAUCUCCGGUAGACAGUUUCUAUGGGGCGUAGGCCUCCCAAAAGGUAACGGAGUCGUGCAAAGGUUUCCUUGGGCCGGACGGAUAUUGGCCCUCAAGUGCAAAGGUAGAAGGGAGCUUGACUGCAAGACCCACCCGUCGUGCAGGGACGAAAGUCAGCCUUAGUGAUCCGACGGUGCCGAGCGGCAGGGUCGUCGCUCAACAGAUAAAAUUUACUCUAGGGAUAACAGGUUGAUGUUCCCCAAGAGUUCACAUCGACGGGAAGGUUUGGCACCUCGAUGUCGGCUCUUCGCCACCUGGGGUUGUA
rnacentral:ncRNA from 1 species